AGCGAACGCUGGCGGCAGGCCUAACACAUGCAAGUCGAGCGCCCAGCAAUGGGAGCGGCAGACGGGUGAGUAACGCGUGGGGAUGUGCCCAAUGGUUCGGAAUAACCCAGGGAAACUUGGAUUAAUACCGCAUGUGCCCUUCGGGGGAAAUAUUUAUCGCCAUUGGAUCAACCCGCGUCUGAUGAGCUAGUUGGUGAGGUAAAGGCUCACAAAGGCGACGAUCAGUAGCUGGUCUGAGGGGAUGAUCCGCCACACUGGGACUGAGACACGGUCCAGACUCCUACGGGAGGCAGCAGUGGGGAAUAUUGGACAAUGGGCGCAAGCCUGAUCCAGCCAUGCCGCGUGAGUGAUGAAGGCCUUAGGGUUGUAAAGCUCUUUCGCCGGUGAAGAUAAUGACGGUAACCGGAGAAGAAGCCCCGGCUAACUUCGUGCCAGCAGCCGCCGUAA
rnacentral:rRNA from 1 species